rnacentral:rRNA from 1 species
UCUGGUGUAUCAGUUGUACCGCCAGGUGCACCGCUGAGUAGCUACGUUUGGAAGAGAUAAGCACUGAAAGCAUAUAAGUGCGAAACUCGCCUCAAGAUGAGACAUCUUUUAAGGGUCGUGGGAGAUGACCACGUUGAUAGGCUAUAGGUGUAAAGGCAGUAAUGUCAUAGCCGAGUAGUACUAAUUAUCCGUAGAUUUAUAGCC